rnacentral:rRNA from 1 species
GGCUAACACAUGCAAGUCGAACGGUAACAGGAAGCAGCUUGCUGCUUUGCUGACGAGUGGCGGACGGGUGAGUAAUGUCUGGGAAACUGCCUGAUGGAGGGGGAUAACUACUGGAAACGGUAGCUAAUACCGCAUAACGUCGCAAGACCAAAGAGGGGGACCUUCGGGCCUCUUGCCAUCAGAUGUGCCCAGAUGGGAUUAGCUAGUAGGUGGGGUAACGGCUCACCUAGGCGACGAUCCCUAGCUGGUCUGAGAGGAUGACCAGCCACACUGGAACUGAGACACGGUCCAGACUCCUACGGGAGGCAGCAGUGGGGAAUAUUGCACAAUGGGCGCAAGCCUGAUGCAGCCAUGCCGCGUGUAUGAAGAAGGCCUUCGGGUUGUAAAGUACUUUCAGCGGGGAGGAAGGCGAUGCGGUUAAUAACCGCGUCGAUUGACGUUACCCGCAGAAGAAGCGCCGGCUAACUCCGUGCCAGCAGCCGCAGUAAUACGCAGGGAGCAAGCGUUAAUCGCAAUUACUGAGCGUAAGCGCACGCAGGCGGUCUGUGAGUCAGAUGUGAAAUCCCCGGGCUUACCUGGGAACUGCUCCGAAACUGGCAGGCUUGAGUCUCGUAGAGGGGGGUAGAAUUCCAGGUGUAGCGGUGAAAUGCGUAGAGAUCUGGAGGAAUACCGGUGGCGAACGCGGUGCCCUGUACUACGACUGACGCUCAAGGUCGUAAGCGUG